GACGAACGCUGGCGGCGUGCUUAACACAUGCAAGUCGAACGGAAAGGCCCUGCUUUUGUGGGGUGCUCGAGUGGCGAACGGGUGAGUAACACGUGAGUAACCUGCCCUUGACUUUGGGAUAACUUCAGGAAACUGGGGCUAAUACCGGAUAGGAGCUCCUGCUGCAUGGUGGGGGUUGGAAAGUUUCGGCGGUUGGGGAUGGACUCGCGGCUUAUCAGCUUGUUGGUGGGGUAGUGGCUUACCAAGGCUUUGACGGGUAGCCGGCCUGAGAGGGUGACCGGCCACAUUGGGACGGAGAUACGGCACAGACUGCUACGGGAGGCAGCAGUGGGGAAUAUUGCACAAUGGGCGGAAGCCUGAUGCAGCAACGCCGCGUGCGGGAUGACGGCCUUCGGGUUGUAAACCGCGUUCGCCUGUGACGAAGCGUGAGUGACGGUAAUGGGUAAAGAAGCACCGGCUAACUACGUG
rnacentral:rRNA from 1 species